GACGAACGCUGGCGGCGUGCCUAAUACAUGCAAGUAGAACGCUGAAGAGAGGAGCUUGCUCUUCUUGGAAGAGUUGCGAACGGGUGAGUAACGCGUAGGUAACCUGCCUUGUAGCGGGGGAUAACUAUUGGAAACGAUAGCUAAUACCGCAUAACAAUGGGUGACCCAUGUCAUUCAUUUGAAAGGGGCAACUGUUCCACUACAAGAUGGACCUGCGUUGUAUUAGCUAGUAGGUGAGGUAACGGCUCACCUAGGCGACGAUACAUAGCCGACCUGAGAGGGUGAUCGGCCACACUGGGACUGAGACACGGCCCAGACUCCUACGGGAGGCAGCAGUAGGGAAAUUUUGGCA
rnacentral:rRNA from 1 species